UGACGCUGGCGGCAGGCCUAACACAUGCAAGUCGAGCGGUAGCACAGAGAGCUUGCUCUCGGGUGACGAGCGGCGGACGGGUGAGUAAUGUCUGGGAAACUGCCUGAUGGAGGGGGAUAACUACUGGAAACGGUAGCUAAUACCGCAUAACGUCGCAAGACCAAAGUGGGGGACCUUCGGGCCUCAUGCCAUCAGAUGUGCCCAGAUGGGAUUAGCUAGUAGGUGGGGUAACGGCUCACCUAGGCGACGAUCCCUAGCUGGUCUGAGAGGAUGACCAGCCACACUGGAACUGAGACACGGUCCAGACUCCUACGGGAGGCAGCAGUGGGGAAUAUUGCACAAUGGGCGCAAGCCUGAUGCAGCCAUGCCGCGUGUAUGAAGAAGGCCUUCGGGUUGUAAAGUACUUUCAGCGGGGAGGAAGGCGAUAAGGUUAAUAACCUUGUCGAUUGCCG
rnacentral:rRNA from 1 species